GAGAUACCCUUAUGGGGCAAGACUUGCUUCAGUGGGGCCUUGCUUCAGUGGGGCUUUGGUGCUCACUGAGUCUGCCUCCUGAGUGUGUCCCU
rnacentral:pre_miRNA from 1 species